rnacentral:tRNA from 2 species
GCUUGGGUAGCUCAGUUGGUAGAGCGUUCCCCUGAAGAGGGAAGGGUCCCCGGUUCAAAUCCGGGCCCAAGCA